CCUAUAAAAUGAAUUUAAUAUGAACCAAUGAAUAUCAUUUUAAAAUUAUUAUAUAAAAAAAUAUAUAAAUAUAUGUAAAAAAUAUAUUUUAUUCAUAAUAAUUAUUUAUAUAUUUCUAAUAAAUAUAUAAAAAAAAUAAAAUUUUAAUUUUAGGAUAAUUAGAACAAACAUAUGAGUUAAGAAGGAAAUAUUCAAAUCAUACCAAGUUUUUAUAAAUAUCACAUAACGAAACUUUGAAAUAUUAAACUAUACUAUUGAUUAAAAUAAGGAAUUGCUGCUGUAUUUCAAAUUUUUAGAAUUUAUUCGCUUGAUUCGCAAAGUCUUGUUGAUUGGCUACGACCCUGCCGCGUUGUGACGUCACCAGGCAACCCCAUUCACCCUCCCAACGAGUCUGGUUACAGCACCAGCUGAUAUCGAGCAGGAAGACCCCGACCAAUACAUGCGAUGACCUACUGAUAUACACAUGGGAAAAGAGAUCUAUUGAGAGAACAUCUUCACUUUGAAUUUACCUUGAGCGCGCGAAAAUAUAGAUGAAACUGUUCCAUACCCUGACCUUGAGUACGUAAAUUUUGUAGGACCUUCCACUGGCUUAUUCUACGAGCUUUUAAUAAAAAGUUUCAUUAAAAUAUAUACUAAGAUGUAUUCAACUAUACAAUUGAAAUUGUCGACUAUGAUAAUAAAUCUCAUUGAAGAAAUACAAGUCAGUCAAGAGUGUUAUGAUAUUGACAGAUUAAUAAAAUUUCUGUAUUAUUAUUACAAUUAUGGUAAAGUGUGAAAACAUUGAUCAAAAGUAUGUACAUAUAUACAUAUAUAUGGGAGGCUCUUCAACGACAUUUGAAACCACACGAGACGUUCGAUCAGCAGUAAAUAGGGCAGGGCGGCUGGAUAGACGGUAGGGGUGAGUCGCGUGAGGAACUAACAAGCGCUGCGUGACAUUGCAGAUCCUUAUGUAAUCGACAGGAAAACGAAGAGAUUAUCCCUUUUUGUUGAUAUAAAAACAUUUCUGAUAAGAAGGAAGAAAGAAUAUAAAGAUAAAGAAAAAUAAUAUUUCUAUUUUGUAAGAUUCAAUAAUUAUAGCAUUCUAGAUAUAUAUUUUUUUAUUGAUCUUUAAAAAAUCAAUAAAUUUCCUCCAAAAAUUUAUACUUAAUACUUAAGAAUAAGUAUUAAGUAUAAAUACAAUAAUAUCUUUGGUAUAUCAAAUAUAUCAAAUAAU